ensembl:lncRNA
UGUAUCUAUAUUCAUAAAAAAAAUGAUGAUAUAAACAAAAGAUCAAAUAAACAGUAACACAACCACAGUGGGUCACAUCAAUAUCCAAAUUUCAAAAGCAGGUGCUUCAACUGAACAAAACAUCAGUGAGGAAACAUAAGAGUCAAACCACAUCCUUGAAGAUAUGGAUAAAUAUGUAUGUACAGAGUGUCUACCCCUGGAAAAGAGAGUACACAUGUUUCUCUGUAGCACAUGCAACGUUCUCCAAAACAGACCACCUACGACUCUAAGAAGCCUGCUUAAAUACAUACAAAAGAAUAAAAACCACUCCAUGCUUACUAUCAGAACACUGUGCAGUGAAACCACAAAUUAAUCACAGAAGACACCACAGAACAUUCAGAAACACCUCAAAAAUUAGUAACGCACCUAAGCUGCGACUGGCCAGGAGAGACAAGUACCUGGAAGCUCCGCAGGCCUUCCUGGGCCACGCCCACGGCACAGUGAGGUCACAGAGGCGUCUAGCAACCCACCCCCAUCCGAUGGUCUCUAAGCUGCAAAGGGCCAGGAGAGACAAGCACCUUGAAGCUCAGGGGCUGUCCUGGGCCACGCCCACGGCAUGAGGCACAGGAGAUUAUAAAGACCCUCGUCCUGAGCGCCCCAAGAUAGAGCAGAAGUUAGUAAUAGAAAGAGGACCUCUCCGGCUCCUUGAGGAAAACUGAAGCUCAGCAGAAAAGUGAAGAGAACCUCUAUAAUAAAGGGACAUCCGACCACUGUACUUGGUCUGCUGCUGGCUCGCGGGAGAGACUCACUGACUCAUACAUGCACAGGGAUUCCUACAUUGCCUACUGUGACAGCAGAGACACACCCUGAAGGAGGCCCAUAAUUUCUAUUGCUAUUUGCACAAAAGAAAAAAAAAUUUAUCUUAUUUUUAAUUCUUCAUUUUUACUUUUUUUCCCUACCCUCAAAGUUUGGCUUUUCUUUCUUUUCUUUCUUUUAGCCUUUCUCUCUCUCUCUCUCUCUCUCUCUCUCUCUCUCUCUCUCUCUCUCUCUCUCAUCUCACUCAUUCUCUCACUGUCCCACAUUGUUCCUCAUCUCCCCAUUUGUUCCUUUCUGCACUGAAUUCAGAUUUCUCCCUUAUUGGUUUUUUCUUCUCUUUUUCCUUCUCUUGAUUAUCAUUAGGUUUAAAGGAAAGGAAAUUCGGUAUCUAGCCUCCCUGUUGCUGUUAGAUGAUGCUAGUCACAUCUUUGUUCUUUCAUUCUGCCUCUUCCUCUGGCCUUCAACAACUUCUUAGUGUUUGUGUGAUCUUUCUGUGUCUUCUGGCCUCACUGCUAAGCUUGCCUGUUCUUUCAAACUGGCCCUCCCUCCCCAACUCCUUUGAACUACCCACCACGAAGGGGAAAGAUGCUAUAUUGAAGAGUUUCUUCAUUAUGAACUUAUGUGGGAUUGGUCCUCAGAUUUAAUUUAACUCACCUAGUUAAAAGUGACAGAUUAUUAACUACCACAAAUUGUCAUUUUCUAAGCUGUGCUUGAUCCUGUGGUAUUGAUGACUAUGUCACUUGGGCUAACGUGUUGUGACUGAUCUAAUUAGUUGUCCUUCCUGGCAUAAGAAAAAUAUAAUAGCUUCAGAGUCAUUAGAGUCUCAAAACCCAAACACAAGCUAUAUCUGAAAGACACCUCUGAAAAGCAGUCAUUCCACAAGGGUUUCAAACACAAGCAACAAAGAUACCUACAUUAAGCAAUUUUGAAAUAUCAAUCCAGGAAUUAAACCAAGGACAGUACCAAAAACAAAAAUAAGAAGACACUUAAGCAAGGCACAAACACAGGCUUUCAUGCCAUAAAAGGGAAACUGGGGGAAAUGAGGUGGAAAAGUCCAAUAAGCAGCCA